rnacentral:rRNA from 1 species
GGACUACUGGGGUUUCUAAUCCUGUUUGCUCCCCACGCUUUCGCACCUCAGCGUCAGUACCGGGCCAGUGAGCCGCCUUCGCCACUGGUGUUCUUGCGAAUAUCUACGAAUUUCACCUCUACACUCGCAGUUCCACUCACCUCUCCCGGACUCCAGAGUUCCAGUAUCGAAGGCAGUUCCAAGGUUGAGCCCUGGCAUUUCACCCCCGACUUAAAACUCCGCCUACGUGCGCUUUACGCCCAGUGAUUCCGAACAACGCUAGCCCCCUUCGUAUUACCGCGGCUGCUGGCAC